CAAACCAGAAGAGGGGUCAACCUGACACCCACAUUUCCACAAGCCCUGGAUAUUGAGACCACAGAGAGCUUCUCCAGCCUGGUGAUGCUGGCCCUCCAUCCAGGGUGCCUAAUGCGCAUCCUCCACAAACACGCCAUGAGGAAAAAUCCCACCUGGCCUUGAUUACCAGUCUCCAUAUGUAAAAGUUCCAAGUUGAAGCCAUGCCUUUGAAUUCCAAGGCUGGCCGUGGCCCCCAGCCCAGAGCUCCUUACUCCCUCCACAUGUCUGCUCUGCCCUCUGGAAAUGCAGCUCCAUAAUAAGAACACUCCUCUGUAACGUAUACAUCUUCUCAGGUCAUUCAUUCCCUUUUCUUUCCUUAACAGAACCGUCCCUCUCCUCUCAAGACAUCGCUGCUCCUAGAGUUUUCUCAACAGCCAUUUUUGUUUGAACAAAGACAUGAAACAAGUGAAUCUACUCAUCUCUGUUCACUUUGGGGCUUCUUGUCUCUUUUCUGAUGGCUCAGUUCAUUUAAUGCUCAAGAUAAUCUGCUUCAACCAUUCUUGCCCACUACUUUCUUUUACUGAACCUCUGGUUACUCCAUCUCAUUCACUAAAGGAUCUGGCUUAUAAGAUGUGGAUGCAACCUAAGUGUCCACCAACAGAUGAAUUGUUAAAAAUAAUAAUAAUAAAAACCAGAUGAAUAGAUAAAGAAGAUGUGGUAUAGAUAAACACAAUGGAAUAUUACUCAGCCAUAGAAAAGAAUAAAAUUUUGCCACUUGGAUUGUUUGUUCUAAUUCUGUCAAAAAUGUCAUGGGUAAUUUGAUAGGGAUUGCAUUGAAUCUGUAGAUUGCUUUGGGUAGUAUGGCCAUUUUUACAAUAUUGACUUUUCCAAUCCAUGAACAUGGAAUAUCUUUCCAUUUCUUUACAUCUUCUUUGAUUUCUUUGAUUAAAGUUUUAUAGUUCUCAGCAUAUAGGUCCUUUACCUCCUUGGUCAGGUGUGUAUUCUGAGGUAUUUGAUUUUGUGAGGUGCAAUUUUAAAAGGUAUCAUAUUUUUGUAUUCCUUUUCUAAUAUUUCAUUGCUGGUAUACAGAAAUGUGACUGACUUCUGAAUGUUAAUCUUAUAUCCUGCUACCUUGCUGAAUUUGUUAAUCAGUUCAAGCAGUUUUUGAGAACUUUGUCUAGAUACUCAUGUUGCAACAGAACAAAGGGUGGGGGAAAAACAUGUAAAUGUAAUGUGUACAUGUAAGGAUAACUUGAUCCCCUUGCUGUACAGUGGGAAAAUAAAAUAAAAUAAAAUAAUUUUGCCACUUGCAGGAACAUGGAUGGACUUGAAGGGCAUUAGGCUAAGUGAAAUGAGUCAGACAGAGAAAGAUAAAUACUGUAUGAUAUCCCUUACAUGUGGAAUCUGAAAAAUACAAAAAAAACUAGUGACUAUAACAAAAAAGAAGCAGACUCACAGAUACAGAGAGCAAGCUGGUGGUUACCAGUGAGUGUGCUGGGGGGUACAAUAUAGGGGUGAGAGAAUGGGUAGCACAAACUGUUGGGUAUAGGAUAGGCUCAAAGAUGCAUGAUACAACACAGGGAAUACAGCCAAUAUUUUGUAAUGACUCUGACUGUAAAGUAACCAUCAAAAAUUGUACAAAAAUUUUUUAAAGAAAAUUUAAUUUAAAAAAAAUUUUAAAAGAAUCUGGAUUCUGACUCAGAGUGUUUCCCUCAAACUCAGCACAACCUUGUCAUUUGCAACUUCAGUGACAACACAGAUGAGUUAUCCCAUAACUUGGCUUCUCAACAACUUGAACUUACUUCUCACCUUCAGCUUUCCCCACCCCUACCACUACCUCCCAGGCUAUCAGCACCCGACUGCCAGGUUAUGGUUAUUUCCUAACCAUGUUCUACCUCUGAAGUUACUGACUCAGCCACUGAUCCGAUCACAACUUCUUCUUCUCCAUCUUCACAAUCACCUCUUUAUAUUUCUCCUAUUUUCCAACAUUGAAACACUGUAAAUUGCCCUCACUGACCUAAACCAGGAGCAGUUCACUUCCUGCCCUAGACAGUUCAUAUGACCGAUCAUUUCAAUAACUCUGGAAAAAAAUAUUCCAAGUUCUUCUGUUCCUCCUUUCUCAUUUGCCCCCUUUUUUAAUAUUUAACUACAAAGACUCAAUUCUUGAACACAUUUCUCUAUCUAUAUAUGAGUACUUGAGCAUUACUGGGAAGAAAGUUUUUUUCUAAAUGGCCACACCUGUGGCAUAUGGCAGUUCCUUCCUGGGCCAGGGGUCGAACUGGAGUUGCAGAUGCCAGCCUAUGUCACAACCACGGCAACACCAGAUCUGAGCUGCAUCUGUGACUUAUACCACAGCUUGCAGCAAUACCAGAUCCUCAACCCACUACAACACCAGUGAUCAAACCUGCAUCCUCACAGAGACAACACUGGGUCCUUAACCCACUGGGCCACAAUGGGAACUCUGAGAAAGAGUUAAUAGGCUAUUUCAAUCAAGGUCCCAGAAAGAAACAUAUAGCAAACAAAUUGGGUUAUUCCAGAAAAAUAUAUAACACAGAUACUAUUUACAAAGCUGUAAGCAGUGAAUUGAGAAACCCACAAAGGAUCUUGGAAAACUAGGACUAGUAACAACCAAGGUGAACUGAUCCCUCCCAAGGCCUGAGAGGUGAUAAAGGAGAAGGAGCUACUCAAUCCCAGAGACAAGGCUACCUGGCAGGAUCCAUGACCUUCAGGUGAGAGAUACAGGUGAAACUCUGGCAGCCUCUACAAAGAAGGAGUCAGUGGAAUGAACACUACAUCCUUCUUGCCUCUGAUCUCCUGCUGGGAUUUCCCACUGGCAGAACUUCCCAAUGAACACAUAUAUUGUUUUGGCCAUGCCAGUGGCACGCAGAAAUUCCAAGGCCAGGGUCUGAACCUGUGCCACAGCAGUCACCAGAGCCACAGCAGUAACAAUGCCAGAUCCUUAACUGGCUGAGGCACCAGGGAACACCAAGACACAACUGUAAAUUAAUAAUCAUCAUACCAACUGGACACUAAAAAUAUUUAUGCUUGCUAACAUUUUCACCAACUUUUCACAAUUAAUUUCAAAACUUCUCUAUUCUUCAGAACUCCAUACUCCACCCUCUGUCCCAUUGCACUAUUAGCAGAUGACCUGGCAUCUGGUUUCUCAGAAGAG
rnacentral:lncRNA from 1 species